rnacentral:rRNA from 1 species
CCCUAAAAGUUUCAUCCUGGCUCAAGAUGAACGCUGGCGGCGUGCUUAACACAUGCAAGUCGAACGAAACACCUUAUUUGAUUUUCUUCGGAACUGAAGAUUUGGUGAUUGAGUGGCGGACGGGUGAUGAACGCGUGGGUAACCUGCCCUGUACAGGGGGAUAACAGUCAGAAAUGACUGCUAAUACCGCAUAAGACCACAGCACCGCAUGGCGCAGGGGUAAAAACUCCGGUGGUACAGGAUGGACCCGCGUCUGAUUAGCUGGUUGGUGAAGUAACGGCUCACCAAGGCGACGAUCAGUAGCCGGCUUGAGAGAGUGAACGGCCACAUUGGGACUGAGACACGGCCCAAACUCCUACGGGAGGCAGCAGUGGGGAAUAUUGCACAAUGGGGGAAACCCUGAUGCAGCGACGCCGCGUGAGUGAAGAAGUAUCUCGGUAUGUAAAGCUCUAUCAGCAGGGAAGAAAAUGACGGUACCUGACUAAGAAGCCCCGGCUAACUACGUGCCAGCAGCCGCGGUAAUACGUAGGGGGCAAGCGUUAUCCGGAAUUACUGGGUGUAAAGGGUGCGUAGGUGGUAUGGCAAGUCAGAAGUGAAAACCCAGGGCUUAACUCUGGGACUGCUUUUGAAACUGUCAGACUAGAGUGCAGGAGAGGUAAGCGGAAUUCCUAGUGUAGCGGUGAAAUGCGUAGAUAUUAGGAGGAACAUCAGUGGCGAAGGCGGCUUACUGGACUGAAACUGACACUGAGGCACGAAAGCGUGGGGAGCAAAC